UAAAUCUUGGCGGUGGAUCACUCGGUUCGUGGAUCGAUGAAGAACGCAGCCAGCUGCGAUAAAUAGUGCGAAUUGCAGACACAUUGAGCACUAAAAUUUCGAACGCACAUUGCGCCAUCGGGUUCAUUCCCGCUGGCACGUCUGGCUGAGGGUCGAA
rnacentral:rRNA from 3 species